UUUUUUUUUCUUUUUUUUUUUGUUUCUUUGUUGAGCGUGUAAAAGACGAGCAUGUUGUUUUGUAAUAGACGUUGAGUCUGAUGUAGGUGGAGCAUAUUUCACGCUAUACACGUAAAAAUGUACACUUAACGGAAGUUGCACUUGUUACAACAUAGUUCACGCUUUAGUUGAGUUGCGUCAAGUAGAUCGAAUACCUCAGGUUGCAUAUUAUAUAAGUUGAUCGAUAGACGUGGUUCGUGAAAAUCAUAUAUACAUACACCCCAUAUCAUAAGGUGCGAAACAUACCUCAAAGAUACCUGUAUAUACUAAACUACUGAUCAUCCAAGCAUUAGUGACAUCAAUUAAUAAUAAUGAUAACAAUAUUAAUAAUAAUAUUAAUAAUAAUGAUAAUGUUAAUUAUAAUGAUAAUGAUAAAACUAUUAUCACGACAGCGAUAUAGGCACAAUCGUUCCUGCGAAGCUUCAGAUUCCCUAGGCAUCGUACGCGUAACAUAAUAUUCAGGACGAUCCAUAUACUUAUAGAAAUUCAUUGACAUCCAACUACGUUAAUUCCUUCGUGACCACGGUAUCGUUUUCUACGUAUACACAGUUCCAGGCAAUUUCUAUCGUCGUUACGUUGUAUCAGUUGUCUGCUUUCCUUUUAAGAAUUAUCCUUUAAGGUUGGUACACUUAUAAUCGUGUCCAUCGCAAUUUUUCAGAAAUAAAGAAAACGACGAACUCCUCGUUCAUUUGUCAUCGAAUAGAAGUUAGAGUUUGAAUUAUAGAUGGAAAUAUUUUAUAUAUAUGAAGAAAUAAAAGAUGUUAAUCGUUCGAUCGAAAACUAAAAAAAUAAAUCGCGCAGAUAUGAUCGCUGAAAUAACUGAUUCUCGAAUGAAAAAUCUGUUUCAAACAGUUUCAACGAUAUUUUUUAACGAAUUUUUGUGCUUCGAUUCUGUUCUAUUUCGCGACAAAAUAGUGCGUUAUUGAAUGUGCGUUAAAGGAAAAGAAUGAUGUUCACUGUAUUUAGGUGGAGGCACGAAGGGGUUAAAGAUAAAUAUAUCGCUAUAUUACAUGCGCGUUGCAUCAAUUGUGUGCCUUAUUCUGCGGCUGCCAUUUUUGUAACCAUUUCAGAGCAUACUCCUCGAUAAGACAAUAAGGGCUGUCGAGUGAUUUGUGAACAGUUGAAAAUUUGUUAAAUUAAGAAAGCGAUGGCGAUAAAAGGCGGAGCUUGUUGCGCUCCGUGGAAAUGACGAUUUUAUCUGAGCAUGCAUACCGAAACGAGUACAUUGAUUUUUUCAUACGUCAACUAACAUGUUCAUUGCGUAUUUACAACAAACAUGCAUACAUCCAUAAGCAUAUAGGCAUUAACAUUGCAUCUUGCACGAGUCAUGUUAUCGUAUAAUUACAUUUUAGUUGAAGUAAAAGUAAACGUGUAAGGAAUAAGUGUACUUGAAUUUUCUUGUGUUUUUGCUUAAGAAAUAUGAAUAAAAUGUUUCAAUUAAUUUGUAUUAUAAUUUCGUUCAUCACCGAAAUAGACUUCGUUUGUGAACGAAUACAUUUUUUUAUUCGCACUUGUUGCGAAUAACAAGUAUAAUCUAAAAGUACGCUAUCGAUUUUCUAAAUUAUCGUUCAUUCUCAUUAUUUUCAUUCUUAUGAACAGAAAUGGGCAAACUCUCGAUUUCAAUAUACGUAUCUGCCAAAAAUUAUAUCUCACCGAUAAUUUAUUUUACUCGCCAUUGUAUUUGAAAUUAAAUAUCGUUUCAUUUCAUCUAUUUUGUAAACCAAAGAUUCGAAAUAUUAUUUUAAAUCGAUCUAUUUCAAAUUUGAUCUAUACUUCGAAUAGACGAAAGUAUCAGGUAAAUAAAUGCACAUGACGCGAUGGAAUCUUAUUGGUUCGCCGAGUCCUGGUAAGCAGUGUAUCGUAGUUGGCAUUUCCUAAGAAUAAUUAUUGGAAACGUUGAAACUAACAACGUUUUACAUUUUUUAAUAAUUCAUUCCGUUGAAGAUAUAUACUCAAAUUUUGCCCAUCUCUGACGUCACUGAUAUAAUCGAACGCACGGUAGCGCCACCAGUUGCAAAGAGAUAAACUGAUAGGACCGCUAAAAAGAGCAAACGGCCACGAGGGUGAUAAGGAUGAUAAGGACAAUUGUCGUUAAAAAGAGAAAGGCAAGCAUACUGUGGCUAUGAAACAUUGUUAUGUAGACAGGCACACGCAGAUCCUUGACGAAAGAGAGAGAGAGAGAGAGAGAGAGAGAGAGAGAGAGUUUCCAUAGCAUAAGUAACGCAGCUCUGUACAAUGUGGUAGAUACAAUGCAUUCCUUUACAAGAUAUGAUAAUAGAUAAAAAAUUCAACCUGCAAACGUCCUUUGGCCAUUGUGGUACGGUCAACUAGUGGCGCUAUCUAUGACAAUCACUUCGUUGGUUAGGUUAUAUGCGAAUACUUGCAGAAUACUUUGCAGAAUGCACGUAAUAUCUUCGAUCAGUUUCACAAAGUAAUAAAUAUUGCAUUAAAAAUGCCCACAUGUGUUAUCUGUUGAAUUUAUAUAACGUAUUUGUUGUAUGUUACAGGAAGGGUAAUAUAUAUAUUGUUACAGUCACAAUUCCACUAAUAAAUAUUGUAUUUUACAGGUUUACAAGAAAUUGUGUACGAUAGCUGUGAAAUUACAUUAAUCCAUGUUUACGUUUGCUGUAUAUCAAACAACAGAAUGCCAAUGCUGCAUGUAAAGCCAAUAGCAGAUGCUGUUCUAUACGUACGUAAGAUCAUACAUAUUUGAUACAUGACAUGAUUUAUUCCUUAAUGUAUCAAUAUGCUUUGAUACGUUUAAAGAUAAAUUUUCCAUUCAAAGCAGCAGUCGAAAUACUUAAAGAAAAAAUACAGUACUUUUAAAGCAUACGGUUAAAGAAAUAUCGAAGCAAUAUACAGAACAUGUAUAUAAACCAGAAUUAAAAUUGUUUGCGUUGA